rnacentral:tRNA from 2 species
CUAAGUGUAAUUCAGUUUGGUUAGAAUGCUUGUUUUGGGAACAAGAUGCCGCAGGUUCGAACCCUGUCACUUAGA